UGGGGAAUAUUGCGCAAUGGGCGAAAGCCUGACCCAGCAACGCCGCGUGUGGGAUGAAGGCCCUCGGGUCGUAAACCACUGUCAGGAGGAAAGAAAAGUCGGCCGGAUAAUACUCGGUCGACCUGACGGUACCUCCAAAGGAAGCACCGGCUAGCUCCGUGCCAGCAGCCGCGGUAAUACGGAGGGUGCAAGCGUUGUUCGGAAUUACUGGGCGUAAAGCGCGUGUAGGUGGUCGAGUAAGUCGAAUGUGAAAGCCCCGGGCUCAACCCGGGAAGUGCAUCCGAAACUGCUCGACUAGAGUCCCGGAGAGGAAGGCAGAAUUCCCAAUGUAGGGGUGAAAUCCGUAGAUAUUGGGAGGAAUACCGGUGGCGAAGGCGGCCUUCUGGACGGUGACUGACACUCAGACGCGAAAGCGUGGGGAGCAAACAGGAUUAGAUACCCCCGUAGUCCCUGAGCGGGCUGGCAAGGCGCAU
rnacentral:rRNA from 1 species